rnacentral:misc_RNA from 1 species
GAGUUCUUCGACCAUUCAAUGAUCCUGUAUAAAUCUUGUAAAGGGUUGGAAUAAUAACUCUAGAUCAGUAUAUAAGGGAAAAAAAUAUAUGAUAACAACAGUUGGUCGUACUAUCGGGGUCCGAGUUGUUGCUUGAGGGUAGAACUAUCCACAAUGCCCACUGGGAUAUCAAUAGAAUUUGACAACUCAAAAGCUGUGUUCUUUUCGGGCCAGACAAUAACAGGACGAGUUAGGGUUACCUGCGACAAGCCAAAGUAUUGCCGAGCAAUUGAAGUAGAAUUUCAAGGAUAUGGAAAAGUCCACUGGACAGAGAGAAGCAAAGCUCAGAAAAAUGGCAAACAAAGAACAAAGACGAUCCACUUUAAGAGUAGUGAGAGAUAUUACUUAAUGUCUUACAUUGUAUGGGGGAAUGGGACCACAGAGUCAGAGCUUCCUCCAGGCACGCACCUCUUCAACUUCUCCUUCCUCCUUCCCCAUGGCAUCCCAUCGUCCUUUGAAUCGCACAUUGGCAAAGUGCGUCACCAGUGCAAGGCCAAGAUGGACAUACCCUGGAAGACGGACAAGGUGUCUGUGAAGGCUUUCUCCGUGAAUACACUGUACGACUUGAACAUGGACCCUCAGGCUAAGACCAUAACCUACCACGCUGAAGGGAGGAAGAAGAAGGACCAUCGUAAGGUUGCCGAGCUCAAACGCCUGGAAAUUCCACCUGGAGAAGAUGACAACUGGAACAAUGUAGAGAUGUUGGUUCCAGCCUUGCCUCCCUCUCACCUCCAGUUUUGCAACCUGAUUGACAUUGAUUAUGAACUCAAGUUUGAAAUGUCUCCAUCUGGUUGUCACAUGGACCUAGAACACACAGCUCCUAUAAAAAUUGGCUCCAUCCCUCUUGUGCAAUACUUCAGCAAUUUUGUUCAAGGACCAGCCAUGAACUCGGCCCAGCCCAUGAUGCCCAACCAGCUUCCAGGUCCAGGUCAGCCUUCAGUGCCAAGCUAUGCCCCUCCUCCAGCACAAACCCCAUUGCCAAACUAUUCUCCAGUACCAGGACAACACCCAGGCUAUGCUCCUAUACCAGGUCAACAACCAGUUCCAAGUCAGCUUCCAGUGAUGAAUCCACCUCCAGUACCAGGCCAAGCUUCAUUACCAUGUCAGCCUCCUGUGCCAGGUCAGCCUCCAGUGCCAGAUCAACCACCAUUGAUGGGUCAACCACCAGGUCAGCCUGGUUAUGGUACUGGAACAGGUCAAUCUCCAGCGUUGGGCUUUGCUUUAGCUAUGCCAGGCCAGCAAACAGUCCAGCUGCCAGUGUAUCCCGGACAGCCGUCCAACAAUCCAGCCCAACCUAGCAUAGCAGUGAGCAAUGUAGAUGAGAACACUGCCCCAUACAACCCAAACUUCCAGCCUACAUCAUACCCCAUACCAGGGUCACCGAAGUUUCCAGGAUUCCAACUUUAUCCUCAGAUGCCCCUACCAACCUACAACCAGUGCAUGUUUGGAACUACCAGCAUUGCAGAGAUUGAUAGUGACAUUGACGAAGGCCAGAAUCAUAAUGAAGUUGGAUUUGCACCCCAUUAUGUAUCAUACAAUCUUAUAAAUUCCAAGAGGCUCCAGUCAGCUGCUUCAGUGGGAGAUACUGGAGGGGGCAUGGAUGGCAUAACUAGUGGAGUGAGUGACCUACACAUCCGUCGUGACAGUGCGAGCAGUGGUUCUAGUGGAGACCAUUAUCGUGGAGGGCACCAGGCAUUUUAGUGACUCCAGAGGAACAUGUUAAGGAAUUAAUAUUCCUUUCUUUGGGAAUAUGUGAUGCACCACUCAUUGUCCAUCACCAUGAGCAUCAUUCCAACUCAGACUCGGACAGCGAGAGACCAGCCGAGGCAGUGGUGGCUAAAGUUACAGGCCCCAGUACUAAGGACGCCGAUGCCAAUGGCAAUGACAGAGAU